GACAUAUUACUAAUCUAAGCGUUGGUAAAAGUUACUUGUUAAAGCUAGUUAUUGUUUUAACAAAGUAAUUGUGUUUGUAACUUGUAAUGAAAAACUUAUCUUAGUGUCUAUGUAUUGAUCUGUUAAGAUUGUUAUUACAUAUAUAAAAGUGAUGACUAUAAGUCCAGCUGAGUUUUACUGACAUAGAGGAGAACACUUGGUCACUAAUGGCUUCCUAAAGAGGCAGCUAUAGGAGAACACUUGGUCAGUAAUGGCUUCUUAAAGAGGCAGCUGGAGAACUCUUACCAAGACAGAUGACAAAGAAAAGAUGACUUUUUAAGCUAACCCCAGACAGACAAAGCUUGAGAAAUCAAACAUGGUGGCUAUGGCAAUGGAGAUUAAAUAGGAAAAAGCCCUUAUAUUUAUGUUUUCAAAUAUUUAUCAGUAAUCUCUGAAUAUCUAGAAUGUAGAAUUAGAAUCUCUGUGUGCAUGAAAAUGAAUAUUUACUUGUUUACUCAUUUUUUAAUACUCAAAUUUUUAAAGCCACACCGCAC